GUGUGGCGAGAAGUCGUCAAGGUGCUGCGUUAUGGUGCAUGUGUUUAGGGUUUGAUAUUUUAAUGCAUUUAACUUGUAUAUAUUAUUUAAUGUAUGUCAUGUGUAAGGGAAAGUCUCAAACCUGUCUUUGAGGAUGCUACAUGAAACCAGUCGUGGAAUUCAUUUGAGUAGAACGUGCCUGGCUGCUUCAUUGCCUACGGCUCAAGACUAACCAGUGAGGAUAAACUAGUUCCGCAUUUUCCUCGUCGGUUCCAUCUGGGCUAAUCUUUUUCUACAAUGGAAAUUAAUAAAAUGCUGUUAACUC